UUUUUUUUAAAGUUGACCAAAAACAAAAAAAUAAUUCCUGUGUUAAAAGAAACUACAAAGCUCAGUAAAUACAGGACACCAAAUACAACAUCUACAGAAAUCCAAACGAGUACAAACAUUUUUGUUGGACAGUUAAUUUUACCGUAUAAAUGUAUACAAUACUGUUGGUGUUUAUUUGGCACGUUACACCUGACAGCUAAAAACAAUUUAGAAAUACAAUAAAAGCAAUUCCGAUGUGAAAAUCAUUGCAGUAGUUGUGAUCCCUCAGUUAUUAUUAAUAUUAUUUUUUUAAAUGUACUUUUCUUUAUAAAAACAGCAGUUAUUAUAAUAAAAAAAAAAAAAAAAAAGAUUUGUCCAAUGAACACUAAGCCAACUGAAACCACUGAUCUGGGGCCUCAGUUACAUUCAAUUAACAGGAGACGGAAGGGUCAAUUCAAUGGGUUCCUGACUGAUCCAGGAAGUGAUGCAAGACUGACUGCUGGGGGAGGGGGAGGGGGGAGGAGAACGGUCCGUGAGCUCUGAGAGGAUGUCCAAUAUUGUAUGUACUGUAUAUGGAGAUGACUCAUGACAUAUACACUGUACGCUACAUACACUCUCUCUGUGUGUGUGUGUGUGUGUGUGUGUGUGUGUGUGUGUGUGUGUGUGUGUGUGUACAUUGGUCACUAAAUGACCAAAAGUAUGUGGACACCUGCUAGUCAAACGUCUCAUUCCAAAAUCAUGGCCGUUAAUAUGGAGUUGGUCCCCCCCCUUUUACUGCUAUAACAGCCUCCACUCUUCUGGGAAGGCUUUCCACUAGAUGUUGGUACAUUGCUGCUAUAACAGCCUCCACUCUUCUGGGAAGGCUUUCCACUAGAUGUUGGAACAUUGCUGCUAUAACAGCCUCCACUCUUCUGGGAAGGCUUUCCACUAGAUGUUGGUACAUUGCUGCGGGGGACUUGCUUCCAUUCAGCCACAGGAGCAUUAGUGAGGUCGGCCACUGAUGUUGGGUGAUUAGGCCUGGCUCGCAGUCGGCGUUCCAAUUCAUCACAAAGGUGUUCGAUGGGGUUGAGGUCAGGGCUCCGUGCAGGCCAGUCAAGUUCUUCACACACCGAUCUCGAUAAACCAUUUCUGUAUGGACCUCGCUUUGUGCACGGGGGGGCAUUGUCAUGAUGAAACAGGAAAGGGCCUUCCUCAAACUGUUGCCACAAAGUUGGAAGCACAGAAUCGUCUAGAAUGUCAUGGCCCAAACCAUGAAAAACAGCCCCAGACCAUUAUUCCUCUUCCACCAAACUUUACAGUUGGCACUAUGCAUUAGGGCAGGUAGCGUUCUCCUGGCAUCUGCCAAAUCCAGAUUCCUCCGUCGGACUGCCAGAUGGUGAAGCGUGAUUCAUCACUCCAGAGAACAUGUUUCCACUGCUCCAGAGUCCAAUGGCGGCGAGCUUUACACCACUCCAGCUGACGCUUGGCAUUGCACAUGGUGAUCUUAGGCUUGUGUGCGGCUGCUCGGCCACGGAAACCCAUUUCAUGAAGCUCCAGACCAACAGUUGUUGUGCUGACGUUGCUUCCAGAGGCAGUUUGGAACUCGGUAGUGGAGUGUUGCAACCGAGGACAGAUGAUUUUUACGCGAUUCGGCGCUCGGCGGUCCCGUUCUGUGAGUUUGUGUGGCAUACCACUUCACGGCUGAGCCGUUGUUGCUCCUAGACGUUUCCACUUCACAAUAACAGCACUUACAGUUGACCCGGGGGCAGCUCUAGCAGGGCAGAAAUUUGACGAACUGACUUGUUGGAAAGGUGGGAUCCUAUGACUGUGCCACGUUGAAAGUCAUUGAGCUCUUCAGUAAGGCCAUUCUACUGCCAAUGUUUGUCUAUGGAGAUUGCAUGGCUGUGUGCUCGAUUUUAUACACCUGUCAGCAACAGUGUUGCUGAAAUAGACAAAUCCACUAAUUUGAAGGGGUGUCCACAUACUUUUGUAAUAUAUACAUAUGCACACAGUUGAAGUCUGAAGUUUACAUACAUUUAGGUUGGAGUCAUUAAAACUCGAUUUUCAACCACUCCACAAAUUUCUUGUUAACAAAAUGGACAAUGACCCCAAGCAUACUUCCAAAGUUGUCGCAAAAUGACUUAAUGACAACAAAGUCAAGGUAUUGGAGUGGUCAUCACAAAGCCCUGACCUCAAUCCAAUAGAAAAUUUGUGGGCAGAACUGAAAAAGCGUGUGGGAGCAAGGAGGCCUACAAACCUGACUCAGUUACACCAGCUCUGUCAGGAGGAAUGGGCCAAAAUUCACCCAACUUAUUGUGGGAAGCUUGUGGAAGGCUACCCGAAACGUUUGACCCAAGUUAAACAAUUUAAAGGCAAUGCUACCAAAUACUAAUAGAGUGGAUGUAAACUUCUGACCCGCUGGGAAUGUGAUGAAAUAAAUAAAAGCUGAAAUAAAUCAAAUCUCUCUACUAUUAUUCUGACAU
rnacentral:lncRNA from 1 species